GUUCUCCUAGUGGUUAGAGCGUCCGCCUCGGAUGCGGAAGGUAGCGAGUUCGAACCCCGGCUGAGUCA